rnacentral:rRNA from 1 species
CAGUAGCCGCGGUAAAACGGAGGGGGCUAGCGUUGUUCGGAAUUACUGAGCGUAAAGCGCACGUAGGCGGCUUGGUAAGUUAGAGGUGAAAGCCUGGAGCUCAACUCCAGAAUUGCCUUUAAGACUGCCGAGCUAGCAGGUGAGAGAGGUAAGUGGAAUUCCGAGUGUAGAGGUGAAAUUCGUAGAUAUUCGGAAGAACACCAGUGGCGAAGGCGGCUUACUGGCUCAUACUGGACGCUGAGGUGCGAAAGCGUGGGGAGCAAACAGGAUUAGAUACCCCAGUAGUCCCUGUCUCUUAUAU